UCACUUACGAAAACCAUAAGUCUUGUGUCU
rnacentral:piRNA from 1 species